GGGUUGUGAGGUUAAGCGACUAAGCGUACACGGUGGAUGCCCUGGCAGUCAGAGGCGAUGAAGGACGUGCUAAUCUGCGAUAAGCGUCGGUAAGGUGAUAUGAACCGUUAUAACCGGCGAUUUCCGAAUGGGGAAACCCAGUGUGUUUCGACACACUAUCAUUAACUGAAUCCAUAGGUUAAUGAGGCGAACCGGGGGAACUGAAACAUCUAAGUACCCCGAGGAAAAGAAAUCAACCGAGAUUCCCCCAGUAGCGGCGAGCGAACGGGGAGCAGCCCAGAGCCUGAAUCAGUAUGUGUGUUAGUGGAAGCGUCUGGAAAGGCGCGCGAUACAGGGUGACAGCCCCGUACACAAAAAUGCACAUAUUGUGAGCUCGAUGAGUAGGGCGGGACACGUGGUAUCCUGUCUGAAUAUGGGGGGACCAUCCUCCAAGGCUAAAUACUCCUGACUGACCGAUAGUGAACCAGUACCGUGAGGGAAAGGCGAAAAGAACCCCGGCGAGGGGAGUGAAAAAGAACCUGAAACCGUGUACGUACAAGCAGUGGGAGCACGCUUAGGCGUGUGACUGCGUACCUUUUGUAUAAUGGGUCAGCGACUUAUAUUCUGUAGCAAGGUUAACCGAAUAGGGGAGCCGAAGGGAAACCGAGUCUUAACUGGGCGUUAAGUUGCAGGGUAUAGACCCGAAACCCGGUGAUCUAGCCAUGGGCAGGUUGAAGGUUGGGUAACACUAACUGGAGGACCGAACCGACUAAUGUUGAAAAAUUAGCGGAUGACUUGUGGCUGGGGGUGAAAGGCCAAUCAAACCGGGAGAUAGCUGGUUCUCCCCGAAAGCUAUUUAGGUAGCGCCUCGUGAAUUCAUCUCCGGGGGUAGAGCACUGUUUCGGCAAGGGGGUCAUCCCGACUUACCAACCCGAUGCAAACUGCGAAUACCGGAGAAUGUUAUCACGGGAGACACACGGCGGGUGCUAACGUCCGUCGUGAAGAGGGAAACAACCCAGACCGCCAGCUAAGGUCCCAAAGUCAUGGUUAAGUGGGAAACGAUGUGGGAAGGCCCAGACAGCCAGGAUGUUGGCUUAGAAGCAGCCAUCAUUUAAAGAAAGCGUAAUAGCUCACUGGUCGAGUCGGCCUGCGCGGAAGAUGUAACGGGGCUAAACCAUGCACCGAAGCUGCGGCAGCGACGCUGAUGCGUUGUUGGGUAGGGGAGCGUUCUGUAAGCCUGCGAAGGUGUGCUGUGAGGCAUGCUGGAGGUAUCAGAAGUGCGAAUGCUGACAUAAGUAACGAUAAAGCGGGUGAAAAGCCCGCUCGCCGGAAGACCAAGGGUUCCUGUCCAACGUUAAUCGGGGCAGGGUGAGUCGACCCCUAAGGCGAGGCCGAAAGGCGUAGUCGAUGGGAAACAGGUUAAUAUUCCUGUACUUGGUGUUACUGCGAAGGGGGGACGGAGAAGGCUAUGUUGGCCGGGCGACGGUUGUCCCGGUUUAAGCGUGUAGGCUGGUUUUCCAGGCAAAUCCGGAAAAUCAAGGCUGAGGCGUGAUGACGAGGCACUACGGUGCUGAAGCAACAAAUGCCCUGCUUCCAGGAAAAGCCUCUAAGCAUCAGGUAACAUCAAAUCGUACCCCAAACCGACACAGGUGGUCAGGUAGAGAAUACCAAGGCGCUUGAGAGAACUCGGGUGAAGGAACUAGGCAAAAUGGUGCCGUAACUUCGGGAGAAGGCACGCUGAUAUGUAGGUGAGGUCCCUCGCGGAUGGAGCUGAAAUCAGUCGAAGAUACCAGCUGGCUGCAACUGUUUAUUAAAAACACAGCACUGUGCAAACACGAAAGUGGACGUAUACGGUGUGACGCCUGCCCGGUGCCGGAAGGUUAAUUGAUGGGGUCAGCGCAAGCGAAGCUCUUGAUCGAAGCCCCGGUAAACGGCGGCCGUAACUAUAACGGUCCUAAGGUAGCGAAAUUCCUUGUCGGGUAAGUUCCGACCUGCACGAAUGGCGUAAUGAUGGCCAGGCUGUCUCCACCCGAGACUCAGUGAAAUUGAACUCGCUGUGAAGAUGCAGUGUACCCGCGGCAAGACGGAAAGACCCCGUGAACCUUUACUAUAGCUUGACACUGAACAUUGAGCCUUGAUGUGUAGGAUAGGUGGGAGGCUUAGAAGUGUGGACGCCAGUCUGCAUGGAGCCGACCUUGAAAUACCACCCUUUAAUGUUUGAUGUUCUAACGUUGACCCGUAAUCCGGGUUGCGGACAGUGUCUGGUGGGUAGUUUGACUGGGGCGGUCUCCUCCUAAAGAGUAACGGAGGAGCACGAAGGUUGGCUAAUCCUGGUCGGACAUCAGGAGGUUAGUGCAAUGGCAUAAGCCAGCUUGACUGCGAGCGUGACGGCGCGAGCAGGUGCGAAAGCAGGUCAUAGUGAUCCGGUGGUUCUGAAUGGAAGGGCCAUCGCUCAACGGAUAAAAGGUACUCCGGGGAUAACAGGCUGAUACCGCCCAAGAGUUCAUAUCGACGGCGGUGUUUGGCACCUCGAUGUCGGCUCAUCACAUCCUGGGGCUGAAGUAGGUCCCAAGGGUAUGGCUGUUCGCCAUUUAAAGUGGUACGCGAGCUGGGUUUAGAACGUCGUGAGACAGUUCGGUCCCUAUCUGCCGUGGGCGCUGGAGAACUGAGGGGGGCUGCUCCUAGUACGAGAGGACCGGAGUGGACGCAUCACUGGUGUUCGGGUUGUCAUGCCAAUGGCACUGCCCGGUAGCUAAAUGCGGAAGAGAUAAGUGCUGAAAGCAUCUAAGCACGAAACUUGCCCCGAGAUGAGUUCUCCCUGACCCUUUAAGGGUCCUGAAGGAACGUUGAAGACGACGACGUUGAUAGGCCGGGUGUGUAAGCGCAGCGAUGCGUUGAGCUAACCGGUACUAAUGAACCGUGAGGCUUAACCUUACAACGCCGAAGCUGUU
rnacentral:rRNA from 1 species